rnacentral:rRNA from 1 species
GGACACGUGAAAUCCUGCUCGAAGAUGGGGGGACCAUCCUCCAAGGCUAAAUACUCGUAAUCGACCGAUAGCGAACCAGUACUGUGAAGGAAAGGCGAAAAGAACCCCGGGAGGGGAGUGAAAUAGAUCCUGAAACCGCAUACAUACAAACAGUAGGAGCCCGCAAGGGUGACUGCGUACCUUUUGCAUAAUGGGUCAGCGACUUACGUUCAAUGGCAAGCUUAACCGAGUAGGGGAGGCGCAGCGAAAGCGAGUCCGAACAGGGCGAUAUGAGUCGUUGGGCGUAGACCCGAAACCAGAUGAUCUAUCCAUGGCCAGGCUGAAGGUGUGGUAACACACACUGGAGGGCCGAACCGACUAGUGUUGCAAAAUUAGCGGAUGAGCUGUGGAUAGGGGUGAAAGGCUAAACAAAUCUGGAGAUAGCUGGUUCUCCCCGAAAACUAUUGAGGUAGUGCCUCGUGUAUGGCUCCAGGGGGUAGAGCACUGUUAUGGCUAGGGGGACAUGGCGUCUUACCAAACCAUGGCAAACUCCGAAUACUUGGAAGUCUGAGCACGGGAGACAGAGCACCGGGUGCUAACGUCCGGACUCAAAAGGGAAACAACCCAGACCGCCGGCUAAGGUCCCUAAUAUUGACUAAGUGGAAAACGAAGUGGGAAGGCUAAGACAGUCAGGAAGUUGGCUUAGAAGCAGCCAUCCUUCAAAGAAAGCGUAAUAGCUCACUGAUCGAGUCUUCCUGCGCGGAAGAUGUAACGGGGCUAAGUCAAUAACCGAAGCCGCGGAUUCGCAGCAAUGCGAGUGGUAGGGGAGCGUUCUGUAAGCCUGCGAAGGCGGAUCUGCGAGGACCGCUGGAGGUAUCAGAAGUGCGAAUGCUGACAUGAGUAACGUUAAAGCGGGUGAAAAGCCCGCUCGCCGCAAGCCCAAGGUUUCCUGCUCUACGUUCAUCGGAGCAGGGUGAGUCGGCCCCUAAGGUCAGGCUGAGAAGCGUAGCUGAUGGGAAGCUGGUUAAUAUUCCAGCACCGAUU